GUCUACAGUCAUACCACCCUGAAUGUACCUGAUCUCGUUUGAUCUCAGAAGCUAAGCAAGGUGAGGCCUGGUUAGUGCUUGGAUGGGAGACUGCCUGGGAAUACCAGGUGCUGUAGGCU
rnacentral:rRNA from 1 species